AACCUGAUUCAUUUCUGGUUUAGCGUCCACGGAGAAUGCAUGCGUUAUUAAGUUCUUCUUAAAAUUACACUCCUGAUGUCGUGUGGUUUUACCUGGAAUUUAGCGUACGUUUUCCAUUUUGUGCUUUACAACUUUAAAAUAAACUCAUACUUAAUUGAAGUCAAACGCAUCCAAUUUUCAAACCAAUGGGACUAUAAAGAAAACAGCUCUUAAUGUUCUUUUCCAACAAAUUUCCUAGUUCCCUAUAUGUAUCAUAAGGUCUCAGAACUGUGCCCGAUGUGCUGUGAUGGCCACAGGACCCUUUUUGUGACAGAAUGCAAUGCCACAAAUGUUUUGUUGCCACUGUAAAUAAAAGAUCUUAAGUGUCACUCCUGUGUUGAUGAAUUGCUAGCUCACACGUAAGAAGUAAAAGGAAGUUCAAGAUUUU